GCCCCCGUCUCCCGUAGCGACCGCGACAGCUGGCGGCCCGGGGAGGCGGGGAGAUUUGUGCGGAGAAAGCCGUGGUUUACAGGAGGCCGUACCGUCAUUCCGAGGCGUUUCCUCCCGGGUUUCACGGCCCAGAAUGUCCCGAGGUGGAAGGGACCCACAAGGAUCACCGACUCCAACCCCUGGACCCACACAGGACCACCGAAAAUUCAAACCUUGUGUCUUCUAGCAAUGCCCAAACGCUCCUUGAACUCCAGCACUCUGCCGUACCCACUGCCCUGGGCAGCCUGUUCCAUGCCCACCGCCCUCUGGUCUGGUGAGGAGCCUUUCCCUAACUCCCAACCUGUCCGUCCCCAGACAGCUCCAUACCACAGAGACGAGAAAGUUCAUGAGACAAAGAGAGGGAGAAAUCUUACCAACUGCCAUCGUGAUCAAAGUAAACUUGACUGAGGGAAAACUUUAGAGCCCUUUCAUGUAAAAUAGAAGAUGUGUCUCCUGCUGUAGGAGCAGAAGAUAAGAGGAGAUGCUCUGGAAAAGCAGCAGGGAAGUGUUGCCUGAGCUCAGGGUGCCCAGGCCAGCAGAAAGGAGGAAGCAGACCCACAGGCCAGAAGUGGCUGCUAACACAGGGGGUGACAGAUGCUCUUUUGGUGGUAGCUGUACCGCCAAACCUUGUGCUCAGCAGGCUUGAGGCCUGCCCUGAGCUUUGGGUGCUACAGCCAUCUGCGUGCACCAGCGAUACUGACAGCACCACAAGUCCGUGCCAUCUUCUGCUUAGAAGAGAAGUUGGAUGGAGGGUCCUUCUUUACAAGGAGCUACGUGGAGAAGACAAGGAGCAGUGGGUACCAGUUGCACUGAGAGAGGUUUCUCCUAAAUCCAAUAUUGAUAGUGAUUUUUUUUUUUUUUUUUUUUUUUACAGUGAGAACUAUCAGACUUCCUCCAGAUGUGGCAGAGUCCCCAUGACUGUAGUUUUUUGAGGUGUGAUUGGACAGGGUGCUUGACAAUCACAUCUAGGUUUCCUAUUCCCACAAAAAGUUGGGCCUGGCAAUCUUUUGUGAUCCAUUGCAACCUGAAUUGUACCACUAUUCUGUGAGGUUAUCCUUUUUAGUGCCUAAGUAGCUUUUUAAUUGCAGGGCAGAGGUUCUAUUUGUGUAGGGAGGGAUGGCUGAAGCCUGGCGUACACACUGUCCUCAUAACUUGGAGGUGUGACAGACUACCAAAAGCAAUUGGUCAGAGGUAGCAAUGUGUUAAUUUGUUGUUGCAUAAUUCAUCAAAAUUUGUUUAUCUGAAGUCUUAUUUUAUGUUGUUGUACAGCCUAUUGAUGUUCUUCCAGGUCCAAGCAGUUAAUUUUACAGGGUGGCUUUAUCUAUGGUGCCAGCCUGCCACGCACAUUGUCUUUGUGGGUGAGAACAGUGGCUGGUUGAUGUUCCCAAGGAGACUGGUGAAAAGUGAGGUCUCCAACAGAAAUGGACAAGACAUCACUUAUUUGCAACCAUGGUGAAACCCUGGCAAAAUAUACUCAAAGGCUAUGACUGUGCUGGACUCUUCCUACACUUACUUUAGGGAAUUACACAGGAUCUGAAUCCCUGAACAAUCCCCACAUGCUGUAAGGGAUCAGGUCAACAUUCAUAGACCUUCAGCAGCAUCAUUUUAAUAUUCAAGC
rnacentral:lncRNA from 1 species